UAGGGAAUCUUCCGCAAUGGGCGAAAGCUUGACGGAGCAACGCCGCGUGAGUGAUGAAGGUCUUCGGAUCGUAAAACUCUGUUAUUAGGGAAGAACAAAUGUGUAAGUAACUAUGCACGUCUUGACUGUACCUAAUCAGAAAGCCACGGCUAACUACGUGCCAGCAGCCGCGGUAAUACGUAGGUGGCAAGCGUUAUCCGGAAUUAUUGGGCGUAAAGCGCGCGUAGGCGGUUUUUUAAGUCUGAUGUGAAAGCCCACGGCUCAACCGUGGAGGGUCAUUGGAAACUGGAAAACUUGAGUGCAGAAGAGGAAAGUGGAAUUCCAUGUGUAGCGGUGAAAUGCGCAGAGAUAUGGAGGAACACCAGUGGCGAAGGCGACUUUCUGGUCUGUAACUGACGCUGAUGUGCGAAAGCGUGGGGAUCAAACAGG
rnacentral:rRNA from 1 species